ACAGAGGUCCCGAGCGUUGUUCGGAUUCACUGGGCGUAAAGGGUGCGUAGGUGGUGAGGUAAGUCGGAUGUGAAAUCUCGGAGCUUAACUCCGAAAUGGCAUUGGAAACUGCCUUGCUAGAGGUUCGGAGGGGGGACUGGAAUACUUGGUGUAGCAGUGAAAUGCGUAGAUAUCAAGUGGAACACCAGUGGCGAAGGCGAGUCCCUGGACGAAACCUGACACUGAGGCACGAAAGCUAGGGGAGCAAACAG
rnacentral:rRNA from 1 species